rnacentral:tRNA from 1 species
GGACUGUAGCUCAGUGGUAAGAGCGUUUGCCUUGCAUAUGUUAGGCUCUGGGUUUGAUCCUCAGCACCA